UCACAGCGGGUUCAGCACCGUCAGCUUAAACGUUUCCUCCAAAACGCGAACCGCAGAGUCGGAAGGAAAACAGUGAGAUCCGUUGUUCCCAGAAGUUCAGAUGCCGAGGAAGGAGUAUAUGCAGAGGCAACUGCAUCUUUGAUGCAACACCAGCCAAGAAGCAGCACCACUACCAGAGCUAUUAUCUAUGUUUGGCCGGAUGGCUAAAGAAGAGAUACUUCGAAGAAGCAGAGCACAAGGGAAACAAGAUGGCACCAGAAGAGAAAUGAGAAGGCGCUUGCUGAUCUGGAAGCAGUAGAGUGGAAUUGUUUUCUGCCAUUC